GUCCCCACCUCUCGCAGUAGGAGUAGGACAGCACGGCUGCAGAGCAAAGCCACUGCUUCAUCACAGUGGGGUGGUUAAUACCUGCUUCCCAAGAGAGGCUCAGGGAGAGCAGGACAGGGACCGAGGCACGGGCCCAGGCAGCCCUCACACCUGCGGAGCAGGACAUUUGACGCCGCUCUCGUUUCAGGCGCGGGAGCGCUGCUGCCGCACGUGCAGCUUCCAGGAGGUCCAAGUACGGCACCGCCAGCGGGAGGCCCCGGGCCAACAAAGCCAUCGGGGACCCGGUGCAUCUCCAGCCUCCCUGCCCAGCGCGGUGCCGCGUCUCGGGGCACCUCUCGGGCCCCUGGAGACCCCCCGAGCUUCAGGAGAAAACUUCCGCGCCCGCUUUAAUGGAGGGUCACGGUACCCGCGAGCGCUGGGACAGGAGACCGGCCACGCAGCGCCGCCGCCCGCCGGGGCCCGUCUCCCGGCACACGCGUCCCUGACAGGGAGGCGACGCGCCGGAGGACCAACCGCCACCUCCGCCCCCGCGCGAGCCGCCCAAACGGCGCCGCCGCCGCCGAACGCUAGAUAACGCCUCGAAACGAAUUAAUUCGGGGACCGCCUUCAACUUCUCCACGGCGUGAGGCAGGACACCUGCGUGAUACUGCAAUUCACCACAUGGGUUCCCCCAUCUUGAGAUGGCUCCUUGGUCUGCAGAAAAACAACCAGUGGGGAAGCCAGUGACAGCCCCUAAAAUGGCCUGGGCUAAAAGGAGUUGCCCGGAAAACCAUACAGGAGUCAAAGUCCUUCUCAAAGCCAUUCAAAUCCAACCUGCCCACCACAGUCAGCUGUGCUGCUCGUGAGAGCUGUGCCACUUUGAGGCCAGGACUGAGACCCGAUGAGGCCAGAGAAGGAAGAGGCAAGGCUGCGUCAUGUGGUGGCAGAAAGGACCUCCUUCCCUGGGAGGAACUCUGUGCUCCAAAAUCUGCUCUAAGGUUUUUAUUGAGGACUUCCUUGGAUUUAGGCGCUUAAACUGUGCCCAGGUUGCCCUGCCCAUGGUCUUUUGAAUCCAGCCCAUUAUUCCUGAUAAGGAAAAAAUAAAAUGUCAAGAUUAAUUCAA